ACACAUGUUCCCCUCGUGUUUUUCUUUUUACCAGAUAAGAGAGAGGAAACAUACACGAGAAUGUUCAGACUUUUGUGCGAUGCCUGCGUGACGAGAGGCUAUUUGAUGGAACCGCAAAAGAUUCAGAUGGACUAUGAAAUCGCCGCACGGAAUGCCUCUGCAACUGUCUUCCCCCAAGCAGAAUGGAAAGGUUGUUUUUUCAUUACACCCAGUGUAUAUGGAGGAAAACCCAACAGCAUCAACUGCAGACGGCAUACAGUGAAAAUGCUGUGCUGCCACUGAUACCAGUCCACGAGGUUGAGGAGCUGUGGCUGGACACAUUAGCAGCCAUGCCCGACGACCCAUGAUGCCGAGACAUCAGUGACUACAUCACCAGCUACUGGAUCGAGGGUGACCUCCAUAAACCA